rnacentral:lncRNA from 1 species
UUCUUUUUAGAUGAAAAAUUCCGAAGAGUGUUUAAAGAAUUAUUUUUUCUCAGAGAAGUGACAAAAGAAUGCUGCGAAGAUAUAAAAACUACAUUUUUGAGAAAAGAAGAUACAAAUACAAUACAUACAAAUGAGCCUACAUUUUUAAAUACAUUCAAUUUUCCUUUACGACGGUUAGAAGAAUUGAACGAAGUAGAAGAGUAUCUUCAAGAACCGAAUCAUUUUCAAUCCACUGUAAGAGAACUUUCAAAAAUGAGAGGAGCUACUCCAUAUGAUUUUGUAAAACGAUGCGUGUCGAUUCUUUUCUCAAAUAGAUUUGCUGAACAGUAUAGCUGGCACGGUGCUAAAAAAAAACAAAUAUUUGAAAAACUAUUUCUUGCAAAUGUGUUGCAAGAAAGUGCUUUAUUAUGUAAAGCAGCGGAAAAUCGAAAAGAAGUUGAGGAAGCUAUCAAAGCUUGGCUAAGACGUGCAAAGGAAAGAGCAAACAAAGAAGAAAAAUCGGAUUCCUCAUUGUAAACAUGUUUGCAUUUGUACGUAUAAUUUGCGUUAAAUUUUAUUUUUGUUUAUUUCAAGACAUUUUUAAACAUAACGCAAAAAUACGUGUUUGUAAUUUCUAUAUUAUUUUUCAUAACUGUAUGCAUACUUUUUAAA